CACCAGGACUCAUUAGUCUGAGUUCAGUUUAAUUAUCGUUUUAACUUAAAUUUAUGUUAUAAAUGAGGUAGUUCACUGUUUAUCAUUCAUUGUGUAACAGAUAACCCCAUAUUUAGAAGCUGAAAACAGUGAAAAUUUAUUAUCUCACAUUUUCUGUGGGUCAGGAACCUGGGCAUAGCUUAGCUGGAUGUCUCUGGCUCAAGGUCUCUCAUGAAAUUCCAGGGAAGCUGUCAUUUAGGUCUGUGUUCUCAUCUGAAGGUUUAACAGAGGAGGAUCAGCUUCUAAGCUUAGUCAUGUCAUUAGCAUGCUUUGGCUCCUCCUCCUUUAGUUAAAGAAGAAUUUUGCCGUCGAUAAUAACUUAUGUGUCUA
rnacentral:lncRNA from 1 species